AAAAGGUGCAGAGACAGGGAAGGUGGCAGACUGGCUCUUUGUUCAAGUGGCCACGUUUAUUUAGAACAAUAAGUUACAUUAGGUCAUUACUACCAUAACCACAUCAUUGUUUAGCAUAUCAGUAAAGUUGCUUAUUCUGCUGUUACAUUUCAAAGUUACAAUAUACAAUGUCAGGAGCUUUAUGUAGUUCUCAAGAAGGUCCAUUGUCUGAAGUUACUGUUAAGCUCCAGAACUUGGUGAAACAUUGUAGUUUUCAAGCAAGCAAGUUCCUUUAUUUCCAGGACUUAUGUGCCUAAGGUUAAGGUCAAAGCAGAUAAGACUCAAGCAUGGAUGGCAUUACCAUAGCAACUGGGCAUCCUAUGCCUUUGCACAGAAACUUUCCCAGGCACCAACCAUGCCACAGCCAUGAAGUCAUCAAGGACCCCAAUACCAAACACAGAACUCUUGCAAAAAGAUAUAUUUUAAGGUUUUUUUUUAAUGUGUGUGUGUUAUUGUUUCUUUGUUUUUGCAAGGAAUUGGUUAAUAUGAUUCUGAAGGCUGACUGUAGAGUAGGUCAUCAGGAAAGGUAGGCUGGAACUCUUGGAUGUGGAUCACACCUGUGACCACAAGCAGAAUUUCUGUCUCAAAUCUCUCUCUUGCUUUUGAUGCCUUUCAAUUGAUUGAAUUACAGCCUGACAGACAGAAGUCUAGGUUAAUGUCCCUUACUUAAAAUCAACUGAUUAUGAAUUUGACUUAUGUCUACAACAUAUUUUCACAAUAACACUUAGAUUAGUACUUGAUUGGAUAACUGGGGAGUGCAGCCCAGCCAAGUUAACACAUUGAAAAUCCAUUUUAUAUUGUAUAUUACAAAACUUGUAUAUUACAAAACUUCAACUUUAUUGGAAAAGGAGUUAUGUGAAUACCGGUUAGCACCAUCUUUUCUGUCUUAAAAAUUUUCCUUUCAGUUUUUAAAUAAAGUCCCU
rnacentral:lncRNA from 1 species